AGAACAGAACAGAACAGAACUGAGAAACAAAACAGAGAUAGGCCUACCAAGUUAUAUUUUUACUAAGGUAGCUAAACCAUUGGGAAAAAGGCCUACUCAACAAAUGGUGCUGUCAAAACUGAAUAUCCAUUUGCAGAAGAAUGAGAUUUCUUUUCAUUCUUUGACCUUGUUCAGAAAUCCAUUUUGAAAUGGAUCAAAGACCUUAAUUUAAAAAUUCAAAAAGCUGAAAACAGAAAACACUUGUUAAAACUUAGGGUAGGCAACAACUUUCUGAACAGAACUUCAACUUCACAGGGACUUGCUCCCAAUGUCAAAAGACAGGACUACAUGAAAUUGAAGCAAGGAAACUAACAGCAAGAUGCUCAGACACAGAACGGAAAAAGGUUCACCAGCUUCAUCCCAGCUUGCCUGCCCAGCAUUUUCUGAUACUAUGAGAGACAGUCCUCAAAGAAGAAGUUUCCAGGACACGUGUCAGUGCUGAGACAGCUCAAGACUGGAGAAACAGCCAGGCCUUCCAGAGACAACAGUCAAACAGAACAAAACAGGAUACGCUAAGACAACGCAAAAGCACUCAAGCCAACGGCAACCCAACAGGAGGAAGAGUCUCAGGAACAGGUGAGCUUCAGGCUGGAGCUAGAAUAAAGCCCAGUGACACUUGUUCUCUCUGUGUUCCCAGAGUGAGCUAUGGAGGGGGGCCCAAAGCCACAUUGCUGCCUCACUGAGGAUAAGUCCUGAGUGCGCUCUUUAAUGUUUAUUUACAUAUUUAUGAAGGUUUGUUCUGUGGAUUAACAUUGUCCCACACAAUUCCCUGUCAGCUAUGUUUCUUCACUAUAUAUUAAUAUAUUUCUUCUUUAU
rnacentral:lncRNA from 1 species